CCUCCCCACCUUCUCUGAUGCGGCGCACCCCUACCCUCCCCACCUUCUCCGGCGACACCUCCCACCACCACCUCCCUCCCUGCGCCGCGCCCCUACCCUGCCCACCUUCUCAGGCGGCGCUGCCCACCACCACCUCCGACCGCGUCCCAUGACACAGCCUUCUACGCCGGCCGCCACCCUCCUCUCUCUCGCGCCACCUAGUAGUCAUGGCGGGAUCUAGCCGUCCCCCUGCACCUCCCUAGGGACGGAUCCGAGGCGGUUCCGGUCCGCCACGCCGCCAGGCGACAAGAUCAAGGAGCACACCUUCGCCUCCCUCCCCCGUCCCCAUCCCGAACCCCUCCUCUCACGCCGCCUCUGGAUGCAAGCCACCGCCACCGACGGCCUGCGCCCUACCGCCGUCACCCCCAUCGCCUCGCCGCUGUCACCCCCAGAGCCAGCCAUCAACUCCAGCCACGCCCCUGCAAAGCAACUACCAGAUCCAGGGGGUCUGGUUCGACCUCCCUCGUCCGCCCCUGGCCCCUCGGUAGCUAUACCGAUGACAAUGCAUCCGCCCGAGCUCUCCGUGCCUCGCUGGUGGCCAUCCUCUUCCUAUCAGGUCGCCUCCCCUUGAUCCCAGCAAGGCUAAGGUGCUCUCCCUUUACUUCGCCGCCGCAUCAAGAUUGGCCAGGAAGCUCGCCAGCGCCUACUCUCUUCCCAUCUCCCACGAGGUCCUAGUCGCUCGUUGCUCACAAGGGAUGCGGUCCACUAUGUUAAGGUAGUGCAGUGCGCUUGGCAUGCAGAGCCCUCCUCCCUCCUCUCUGGCUCGGCCCUCGGCCUCCUGCUGGUCGCCACGGCCGGAUCUGUUGCGGCCCUUCCUUGCCUCGCCGCCAUGUGUCAGUCCUGCGGCUUCAGCUAUGACCAUCUACCUCCCCUCGAUGAACUGCAUCCCCACCGGUGUCGCUGGUGAGCAGUUCGCUUGUGUUGUUGCUGCUAAACCUCCCCGGCUCACAUCAGUGUUACUCCAAAAAGAUGAGGUUCUGUUUCCUUGCAUUCUGACGACCACGCCGACGUGUGUGUGCGCGAGUGCAGCUUGCAAAACGCCCCCAAAAUCAACUAAGUUGUGUGCAGUUCCCAGUUUUCAGAUGGGUGCUACUACCUUCUGCACUGCGUCUUUGAUCCACUGUGGAGGCAAAAAACAAGAAAGGAAACAUUCUUGUUUAGAAGACCACUUGUGAAUUUGAUGUGUUCAAGGGAGAGUUGUACAGAUUUGUGUCCUAGAGGGAAACUAGUACUUGUGAACAAAAGUUAACUCGGGCACAGAUGUCCAAGCAGUUUGGGUGUGUAGUUUUUUUUGUGUCUGGAUGCACUAUUUUUUGACACAUUUCACUCCCUUGCCAUGUGCAGUAAGAGACUACAAAAGAAAAUGCAGUGCACUCUGGUCUACAGUGCACCAUUUUUAAAAAA